AUACGUAGGGUGCAAGCGUUAAUCGGAAUUACUGGGCGUAAAGCGUGCGCAGGCGGGUUUGUAAGACAGAGGUGAAAUCCCCGGGCUCAACCUGGGAAAUGCCUUUGUGACUGCAAGGCUAGAGCACGGCAGAGGGGGAUGGAAAUCCGCGUGUAGCAGUGAAAUGCGUAGAUAUGCGGAGGAACACCGAUGGCGAAGGCAAUCCCCUGGGCCUGUACUGACGCUCAUGCACGAAAGCGUUGGGAGCAAACAGGAUUAGAUACCCUGGUAGUCCACGCCCAAAACGAUGUCAACUGGUUGUUGGGUCUUCAUUGACUCAGUAACGAAGCUAACGCGUGAAGUUGACCGCCUGGGGAGUUCGGCCGCAAGGUUGAAACUCAAAGGAAUUGACGGGG
rnacentral:rRNA from 1 species